rnacentral:rRNA from 1 species
CCCUUAGAUGUUCUGGGCUGCACGCGUGCUACAAUGGCGUUUCCAGCAAGUCUGCGAACCCGAGAGGGCCAGCGGAUCUUCGAAUUGGCGUCGUGAUCGGGACAGUCGAUUGCAAUUAUUUGACUCAAACGAGGAAUUCCUUGUAAUCGCGAUUCAUCAUAUCGCGCUGAAUACGUCCCUGCCCUUUGUACACACCGCCCGUCGCUCCUACCGAUUGAGCGAUCCGGUAAAUGUUUUGGAUUGGUGCCGGGGCGGCUAGCUGCCGGUCGCUACGAAAUUUUGUGAACCUUAUCGCUUAGAGGAAGGAAAAGUCGGAACA